ACUCGAGUGGCGAACGGGUGAGUAACACGUGGGUGAUCUGCCUUGCACUUCGGGAUAAGCCUGGGAAACUGGGCCUAAUACCGGAUAGGACCAUGCUUUAGUGUGUGUGGUGGAAAGUUUUUCGGUGCAAGAUGAGCCCGCGGCCUAUCAGCUUGUUGGUGGGGUAAUGGCCUACCAAGGCGACGACGGGUAGCCGGCCUGAGAGGGUGUACGGCCACAUUGGGACUGAGACACGGCCCAG
rnacentral:rRNA from 1 species